AAUUUGUUUUCUGGUAGCAUCAGCUCUCCAACUCUCCUCUCCGUUGGUUGCUCUGCUAGAACUUCCCUAUCUAGAUCCACAGAUCUGUGAUGUAAGGAAGAUUUUAAGUGCUCGUUGGGAACUUCUUUUCGGUUUGAUGUCUUAGGCCAAAAAUUUGGAACAAGAGUUGAGAGCCUAGAACCUCUGUUAGUUUCUUAACGCGUCACUGUGUGCUUUCAAUGCUAGCUUCUCCUCAUCGUAGUAGGUUCCAUGAGAAUACUUAAUUUGGCUUUUGGAGUUAUUCGGCGUAUGGAGUGAACUUCAUCGGAUGUUGGCCAGACCAUGACUUAGUCAAUCAUGAUACGCUUUGUUUCCCUUCAAAUUUUCUUUGGGAUAAGCCCUAUUCGCUGGCUCAUUACUCUAUUUUUUAUGCUCUUGUUGCAGGUUCCGACAUUAAGAUUAAAUUUUGAACUACUGGAAUAAUAUUGAUGAUAUUGA